rnacentral:rRNA from 1 species
GCUUGUCUCAAAGAUUAAGCCAUGCAUGUCUAAGUAUAAACGACUUUAUACUGUGAAACUGCGAAUGGCUCAUUAUAUCAGUUAUAGUUUAUUUGAUGGUCCUUGCUACUUGGAUAACCGUAGUAAUUCUAGAGCUAAUACAUGCGCAAAUACCCAACUGCUUGUCGGACGGGUAGCAUUUAUUAGAUUGAAACCAAUGCAGGGCAACCUGGAAUAUGGUGAUUCAUAAUAACUCGCGGAUCGGUUUACCGAUGCAUCAUUCAAGUUUCUGCCCUAUCAGCUUUGGAUGGUAGGGUAUUGGCCUACCAUGGCUUUAACGGGUAACGGAGAAUUAGGGUUCGAUUCCGGAGAGGGAGCCUGAGAAAUGGCUACCACAUCCAAGGAAGGCAGCAGG